CUAAAAUUGGAACGAUACAGAGAAGAUUAG
rnacentral:piRNA from 3 species